rnacentral:rRNA from 1 species
GACGAACGCUGGCGGCGUGCUUAACACAUGCAAGUCGAACGGAAAGGCUCUGCUUUUGUGGGGUGCUCGAGUGGCGAACGGGUGAGUAACACGUGAGUAACCUGCCCUCGACUUUGGGAUAACUUCAUGAAACUGGGGCUAAUACCGGAUAGGAGCUCCUGCUGCAUGUUGGGGGUUGGAAAGUUUGGGCGGUUGGGGAUGGACUCGCGGCUUAUCUGCUUGGUGGUGGGGUAGUGGCUUACCAAGGCUUUGACGGGUAGCCGGUCUGAGAGGGUGACCGGCAUACUGCGGAGUGAGAUACGGGAGGGAGUAGUACGGGAGGCAGCAGUGGGGACUAUUGCCCGAUGGAGGGACGCCGGAUGCAGCAACGCGGCGUGCGGGAUGAAGGCCUUCGGGUUGUAAGCAGAUUUCGACUGUGACGAAGCGUGAGUGACGGUAAUGGGUAAGGAAGCACCGGCUAACUACGUG